rnacentral:tRNA from 1 species
AAAGGGAGACCUAAUUCGGGUAUGGGAUGAAAAAAAAGUAGUCCCAACCAAGAAUCAAUCCCAAAAGGUCGGAGCGAGGCGAAAUUGGCUUUCAAACUAGGUUCUGGGUUCACAGAAGACCUGAAUCAGGAACAAGGGCUAUUAGCUCAGGUGGUUAGAGCGCACCCCUGAUAAGGGUGAGGUCCCUGGUUCGAGUCCAGGAUGGCCCACCUGCACAGGUGGCAAAAACAAGAGAAGCUCCGAAUCAGCACCUUAUCUUACUGACAUAGUAAGAGAGAAUGCUGGCUCUGAGUAAAGAGUCCAGAGGAACCUUGAAAACUGCAUAGAGCUAGGUGAAAAAGCCAAAAAAGAAGACCGCAAG